rnacentral:rRNA from 1 species
CGAUGGGAACCACGUUAAUAUUCGUGGGCCUGGCGGAGGUGACGGAUCGGAAAGCGUGUAUGUCCUUAUCGGAUUGGACAUGCUGUGGACCGGUUCCAGGAAAUAGCCCCGCCAUAUAGACCGUACCCCAAACCGACACAGGUGGACUGGUAGAGUAUACCCAGGCGCUUGAGAGAAUGGUGUUGAAGGAACUCGGCAAAUUGCCCUCGUAACUUCGGAAGAAGAGGGCCCCGUUGUGGCGCAAGCCAUGGCGGGGGGCACAGACCAGGGGGUAGCGACUGUUUACUAAAAACACAGGGCUCUGCGAAGCCACACAAGGCGACGUAUAGGGUCUGACGCCUGCCCGGUGCCGGAAGGUUAAGAGGAGAGGUGCAAGCCUUGAAUUGAAGCCCCGGUAAACGGCGGCCGUAACUA